rnacentral:rRNA from 1 species
UACGGAGGGUGCAAGCGUUAUCCGGAUUCACUGGGUUUAAAGGGUGCGUAGGCGGGUAUAUAAGUCAGUGGUGAAAGCUCCGGGCUUAACUUGGAAACUGCCAUUGAUACUGUAUAUCUUGAAUGUCGUAGAGGUUAGCGGAAUGUUGCAUGUAGCGGUGAAAUGCUUAGAUAUGUUACAGAACACCAAUUGCGAAGGCAGCUAACUAUGCGAUGAUUGACGCUGAGGCACGAAAGCGUGGGGAGUAAACAGG